rnacentral:rRNA from 1 species
AGAGGGUGCGAGCGUUGUUCGGAAUUAUUGGGCGUAAAGCGCUUGUAGGCGGCCUUUCAAGUCUCGUGUGAAAUCCCUCGGCUCAACUGAGGAAGUGCGCGGGAAACUGAAGGGCUUGAGUCCCGGAGAGGGUGGCGGAAUUCCCGGUGUAGAGGUGAAAUUCGUAGAUAUCGGGAGGAACACCAGUGGCGAAGGCGGCCACCUGGACGGAGACUGACGCUGAGACGCGAAAGCGUGGGGAGCAAACAGGAUUAGAUACCCUGGUAGUCCACGCCGUAAACGAUGGGCACUAGCUGUGGUGGGUGUUGACCCCUGCCGUGGCGAAGCUAACGCAUUAAGUGCCCCGCCUGGGAAGUACGGCCGCAAGGCUA